rnacentral:rRNA from 1 species
UACGGAGGGUGCAAGCGUUAUCCGGAUUCACUGGGUUUAAAGGGUGCGUAGGUGGGUCUGUAAGUCAGUGGUGAAAUCCCCGAGCUUAACUUGGGAACUGCCGUUGAUACUAUAGAUCUUGAAUAUCGUGGAGGUAAGCGGAAUAUGUCAUGUAGCGGUGAAAUGCUUAGAUAUGACAUAGAACACCAAUUGCGAAGGCAGCUUACUACACGAUCAUUGACGCUGAGGCACGAAAGCGUGGGGAUCAAACAGG